rnacentral:sRNA from 1 species
GCCCAAGAUGUCUGAACCUGUCUGAAGCAUCUUUUUGAUGUAGUCUAUGUGGUUCUGAGA